GACGAAGGUUCCUAGCGUUGUUCGGAAUCACUGGGCGUAAAGCGCAUGUAGGCGGCUUUUCAAGUCAGGUGUGAAAUCCGGUGGCUUAACCACCGAACUGCAUUUGAUACUGUUAAGCUUGAAUAUGGGAGAGGAUGGCGGAAUUCUUGGUGUAGUGGUGAAAUACGUAGAUAUCAAGAGGAAGACCGGUGGCGAAGGCGGCCAUCUGGCCCAAUAUUGACGCUGAGAUGCGAAAGCGUGGGGAUCAAACAGG
rnacentral:rRNA from 1 species